ACAGAAUGUAAUUCAGAACACCUGUUUGACAUGAUAAUAACUGUGAAGAGAGUUCUUGGAAAAGGUGCUACUAUUUAGGAAACUGGAAUCAUUUUGCUUACUUGAAGGUGUACUCAACAUUGGUGUUCUGAAGUUUUCUAAAAGAAAAGCUAUUUUGCCAGAGGUUUUAACAUCCACACCACCACCACAAGAACCAUUUACAGAGUUCAAAAGCAACUGCGUAACAGGAACAACCCAGUGAACAGAACAAAAGUCAGACAGAGAAUGGAAGAGACUGAGUGUGAGACCAUAUAAUAAGCCUGACGCGCAGUCACACACAUCCGGUCCAACGCAUCGCCCUCCGUUCAUACACACUGGCUCACACACACCUGUGGAGAAAUGGAAAGAUUCAUCUCUCUUCCUCCUUGAUCAGACAGGCCAUAUGUAACUCCUCAACUAACGUCUGAUCUUGGCUCCCAGAGCGCCAUUUUCUGUCAUUUCAAUCAACAGAACAACUCUAUACCUUCCUUCCAUAUGCCGUGACUUAAAUCCCAUCAUGCCAUGUGUUUCAAAGGGGGCAUAGAGCGCGGCCCAGAAUAUCCCUCCACACAUGAGCAGAUGUUAUUUCGUACACAGUGACCACCGUUCUUGCAGGAUGG